rnacentral:lncRNA from 1 species
GCCGGAGACGUUCUAGGAGUCGGCUCUAGGGUUUUGAACAGUGGCGGCGGUGAAAAUAAGUGUUUUCUAAACGAUGGAGUUAGGGUUAAAAAGUCGGAUCCCGACUGCGAGUCGACUCCACUGAGUCGCGAGUCGACUCGACCUCGAGUCGACUCCAAAAUAUGCGCGAGUCGACUCUCCUUAGGCGCCUGUUGACCUCGAGUCGACUCCUUACUGUAUGCGAGUCGACUCCCCCUCUGCUGCCAUUGUUUUCGAGUCGACUCCCGUAAAUGUGCGAGUCGACUCCCCCUUAC